AAUUUCAACUGAAAAAGUCAUCAACAACAAAGUUGUAUAACUCAUCAAGAUCUAUAACUUUUAUUUUGGUCAUUUUUUCAUCCAACAAAGUGAUAGUAACAUUGUUCACAAAAAUUACAUAUUUCUCAUUUGGUUUUAUAAACAAUAAGAUAGAGAUGUAAAUUUUGUGAACAAUGUUACUAUCACUUUGUCGGAUGAAGAAAUGACCAAAAUUAAAGUUGUAUGUCUUGAUGAAUUCUACAACUUUUAUGUUCAUGACUUUUUCAGCUGAAUUU
rnacentral:pre_miRNA from 2 species